GCAGCAAAGCUAGCCUAAACAUCAAAUAAAUAGCCAACUAUAAAUAUCAAAAUACAAGACCCAAAACUAAAACAUUCUUCCCCCUAAGUAUAGGCGAUAGAAAAGGAAAAUAGAGCAAUAGAAAGAGUACCGCAAGGGAAAGCUGAAAAAGAAAUGAAAAACCCAUCAAAGCACAAAAAAGCAGAGACUACCCCUCGUACCUUUUGCAUCAUGGUUUAGCAAGUAAUACCCGAGCAAAGAGAACUAUAGUUCGACACCCCGAAACCAAGAGAGCUACUCCGAGGCAGUCUAACAGGACCAACCCGUCUCUGUGGCAAAAGAGUGGGAAGACCUCCGAGUAGUGGUGACAAGCCUACCGAUCUUGGUUAUAGCUGGUUGCUUAAGAAAUGAAUGUAAGUUCAACCUUAUGUUAUUCUAAAACCAAACCUUAAAAGAAUAUAGUAAAACAUAAGAGCUAGUCAAAGGGGGUACAGCCCCUUUGAAACAGAACACAACCUUAUUAGGAGGCCAAGGAUCAAAACACCCAAAGGAAACCUGCCCCAGUGGGCCUGAAAGCAGCCACCUAAAAAGAAAGCGUUAAAGCUCUAGCAGAAACCUGCCUACAAUUAAGACAACGCCCUCCAAACCCCCUAACUAUAUUAAGCCCUUCUAUUAUUAUAUAGAAAUGACAAUGCUAAAAUUAGUAAUAAGAGGGGCACGCCCCUCUCCCCGCACAAGUGUAAGUUAGACCGGACAAACCACUAACAAACAACGGACCCAAAAAUGAGAGAAAUAUAAAACUAAAAUAAUAAACAAGAAAACCCCAUAACAAAUAACCGUUAUCCCAACACAGGUGUGCAACAAGGAAAGACUAAAAGGAGAAGAAGGAACUCGGCAAACCCAAACCCCGCCUGUUUACCAAAAACAUCGCCUCUUGCCAACACUGAAGUAUAAGAGGUCCCGCCUGCCCAGUGACACAAUGUUCAACGGCCGCGGUAUCUUAACCGCGCGAAGGUAGCGNAAUCACUUGUCUUUUAAAUGAAGACCUGUAUGAAUGGCAUAACGAGGGUUUAACUGUCUCCUUCCCCCAGUCAAUGAAAUUGACCUGCCCGUGCAGAGGCGGACAUAAUAACAUAAGACGAGAAGACCCUAUGGAGCUUUAGGUAAUAAGCCAAACGUAUAAUAAACUUUUAUACCCCUACAAGAGACUAAAAAAGAAAUAAACCAGACGUCAAUUAGUGGCCAAAUACCUUCGGUUGGGGCGACCAUGGAGGAAAACAAAGCCUCCACGAAGAAUAAGGAAUAUAACCUUAAACUAAGAGCCACAGCUCUAAGUAACAGAAUAUCUGACUGACAUGACCCAGGAUAAACCUGAUCAACGAACCAAGUUACCCUAGGGAUAACAGCGCAAUCCUUUCCUAGAGUCCAUAUCGACGAAAGGGCUUACGACCUCGAUGUUGGAUCAGGACAUCCUAAUGGUGCAGCCGCUAUUAAGGGUUCGUUUGUUCAACGAUUAACAGUCCUACGUGAUCUGAGUUCAGACCGGAGUAAUCCAGGUCGGUUUCUAUCUAUGAUUCCACCUAUUCCUAGUACGAAAGGACCGGAAUAGGGGGGCCAAUACCAAAGCAAGCCCCACCCCCACCCACUGAAACCAAAUAAAAUGGGCAAGGAGGGGAAACCCCCAGCCAAAAAUAAUGGCAC
rnacentral:rRNA from 1 species